UACGUAGGGGGCGAGCGUUGUCCGAAGUUAUUGGGCGUAAAGCGCGUGUAGGCGGCUUUGCAAGUCGGGUGUGAAAGCCCUCAGCUCAACUGAGGAAGUGCGCCCGAAACUGCAGAGCUUGAAUACCGGAGAGGAUGGCGGAAUUCCCCAAGUAGAGGUGAAAUUCGUAGAUAUGGGGAGGAACACCGGUGGCGAAGGCGGCCAUCUGGACGGCUAUUGACGCUGAGACGCGAAAGCGUGGGGAGCAAACAGG
rnacentral:rRNA from 1 species